rnacentral:rRNA from 1 species
CACGUAGGCACCAAGCGUUGUCCGGAUUUAUUGGGCGUAAAGAGCGUGUAGGCGGCCCGAUUAGUCCGCUGUGAAAGUCCAGGGCUCAACCCUGGAAUGCCGGUGGAUACUGUCGGGCUAGAGUCCGGAAGGGGCGAGUGGAAUUCCUGGUGUAGCGGUGAAAUGCGCAGAUAUCAGGAGGAACACCAAUGGCGAAGGCAGCUCGCUGGGACGUGACUGACGCUGAGACGCGAAAGCGUGGGGAGCAAACAGG